rnacentral:lncRNA from 1 species
UCACCAUCAGCAUUAUUGUUGACCUCCAUCAAAGUGCAGGCUUCAAACUUUGGACCGUGAACUCGACAAACUUUAAGAAUUCCAUCAUCAGGAAUAAACUUGCAAUAACAUAGUUUACAUUCUCAGUGGUAAACCAAGUGACUCUAUCCUCAGGAGAUACAUCAAUUUGAACUGAGUUCAAAGACAUAGACCUAUCAUAUUCUUGACCAAUUGGAAGCCCUUUCUUAUCAAGCACUCGUUGGACGUAUAAUUGACCAUUUGCAUCCAUACCUGAAAAUUUUGCAAUACGUGUUAGUCCAAGGUUAUAAAUUUUUAUCAAGACUCGUAUGCGUAAAGGAAGUUACAUAAACGAUGCUUGAGGGGGCAUUUGUUAAAAAAAAAAAAUAUUUAUUCAUUGACAUCAAGUUAAAUUCUGGCCCAAGUUUAAAGAAGUUGGGCUCAUAGCUAAAAUGGUAUUGUGAACUUAUUGCUAAAUUGGUUUAGGCCCAAAAUGAAUUAAUAUUAAUAUAUUAAAAGCACUAACAGAAUAUGCUUCAUGUACGUGACUUUGGAGUGUGGAGUUGAGGGGCUGACUGAAAUUGUGAAGUUACUCCCACAUACAGUACCCACACAGUACAUGAGUCCAUAACUGACUAUACUCCUUUCAGUUUCUCUGGGUCUAUAAAAAGGGACCAUUAGGAAGGAAAAAGGGGAGAAAACAAAAGGCAAAAACGCAUAGGAGAGAAAACAUAAAAGGGCUACACAAAAGAAAAAAAAACCAAAACUGCUGCAGAAACUAGCAAAGAAGAUACGAAGUUCUGUCACAAUACCAUUGAGAAGGUAUAAACUAAUUCAUUUGCGUAUCCUUUUCUAUACAACUAACUUGCAAGCAAAAAAAAUUUGUGUGAGACCAUUGUACAGAAGCCUGAAAUUCCUCCGUUUUGAUAUCAAGAAAUGUCUGAUAUCAAGAGAGGUCUCAGCAAUGGAACAUGUAAACAAAUCCUCUCAAAUUGGCAGUAAUCGUGCUAUUUACACAAAGAGCUCCCGCAAGGGCCUCUCUGUUCUGAAUAUACAGAUGGGCUUCCACAAGAACCCCACUAUACUGAGUGCUAUAAACACCUUGCGAGUGUCCAUAGGCACGAUGUGGUAGUCAGAGAAGACCUUGCGAGUGUUCUUGAGUACCAAAAACAGAAAAUGGCAUGUUAUAUCCUAACCCACCUUCAACAUAGCGAAAAUCCGGAUAUGCAAAUUGGAGAAAGAAGAGAUGGCAAAAUAUG